rnacentral:rRNA from 1 species
UCCGUAGGUGAACCUGCGGAAGGAUCAUUAAUAAUCGGCGAAGCUUUCGAGCCUAGCUUUAAAAUAUGAUAUACACCUGUGAACUAUUUGCCUUUGGGCACCAAACCAAACAUAAUGUCAAUGAAUGUAAACAUAUUAUAACAAAUAUAACUUUCAACAACGGAUCUCUUGGCUCUCACAUCGAUGAAGAACGCAGCGAAAUGCGAUAAGUAAUGUGAAUUGCAGAAUUCAGUGAAUCAUCGAAUCUUUGAACGCAGAUUGCGCCCUUUGGUAUUCCGAAGGGCAUGCCUGUUUGAGUGUCUUAUAAACCUCACCUCUACUGUUUUUCAUUAAACAUGUGGACUGGUGCUUUGGGUGUUGCCGUUUACUCUGGCUCGCCUUAAAUGUCUAAGUGGAAUGCGUAAUAAGUUCUUUCGCAACCCUCCACUCUAAUAACACACUUUAUACUCUGACCUCAAAUCAGGUAGGACUACCCGCUGAACUUAAGCAUAUCAAUAAGCGGAGGA